AUAGAUACUUGGAAGGUAAGAUACCAUAGUCAAGAAGGUAUUUUUUUUCCAGGGUGAGGCUUAUCCACUGCAUUUCAGAUGUUCUGACCUUGUGACUUCCCCAAAUGUGGAAAAAUGCAUAAUUUGUGGUAGUGGGCAAUUGUGUUCCAGCUUUCCCCU